UGCCACUUUACUAAAUGAAUAUGAUCCCUAACUAUAUAUAUUCUAAGCAUUUGUCUAGAUAGAUAGACAGACAGAUUAGUCCUUUCCCUUCAUCAAGGAAAUCUCUCUAUGCAACAGAGACUAUCACAGAAAUGCAUGACUGAGCAGAGUGGGGAGGGACGAGAGGUAGUCCCAACAGAUAAAUAUAAUACAAGCCCUGAGCGAAAGGCUCAGACUCAGAGAUCAGUACAGAACUGAGUGCAGAAAGACUGAGAGCCAGAGUAGGGAUUUCUCGUGGGAUUUUGUCUCCUAGGAAUGUCAGAGAAGCUACACACAUGAAGUCUCACUAACAUGGCUAUGUGAACAAGGAUGCCAUCAGUGGACAUACCAAAUGGAUAGAGGAAAGACCACAAGGCCUCAACUCUACACAAAGAAUUACAGUCACAGGUGAGUCUCAAACCAUACACCCUGAAGAUAAAGACACCUUGGCUGUGAGAACAGGUGGAGGCAGGUGCUGCAACAGUGAUUGACUGGAGGACAGAUGUGGAACAUGGAGCUGGCGGUGCCAUGUGGAAGCCACUCAUAGCCCUCACUGGCUCUAGAUUCAGAGCAGGAUGGACAGGUGGAAAGUUCAUCUGGCCCUCAAGUCUUCAAAUGACUCUGCUUGAUCCUGCCUGCCCACCAAGACAACAGCUGUCCAUGAGGGCAAACCACUUGUGAUCCAGUCAAGAGAAAUGAAGGCUCACAUUGGCAACCUCAGAGCUUUCCAGUUCAUAUUGUGAACUUCACUGCCUUCCUGAAUGGUGGCUGUAUUGUUUUGUUUGCUGACUUGUUCCAUGGGUCUCCUAUGCAACGAGGGUUUUUUCCUUUUUUUUUUU
ensembl:lncRNA